rnacentral:lncRNA from 1 species
AUUUUAUCCAUGAAAUCUAGCACAGUAUUUGACACAAAGGAUAUAUUCAUUUAUUUUCUUAAUGUUUGAUGAAUGAACAAAUUACUUGAAAACAUAAAAUUUUUAUUUCUUGUAUUCCACAAUAAUAUAAGUUCCAGUGGAGACAUAGAUUUUUCUUUGUUAUCACUGAAUCCUCAGCAUCCAGAAAAAGCCAGGACAAAAUGUUGAAUGAACAGAUUCUUGUUCUGUUCUUCCUACUGAUACUUCUGGUCUCUGUAUCUGGUUCUGGUUAGUCUGAUCACAAGGUCCCAUAAUAGGCUGUCUGCAAGCUGAGGAGCAAGGAAGCGAGUCUGAGCCCAAAAGCUGAAGAACUUGGAGUCCAAUGUUCAAGGGCAGGAAGCAUCCAGCACGGGAGAAAGAUGUAGGCUGGGAGGCUAAGCCAGUCAAGUGUUUUCACGUUCUUCUGCCUGCUUUUAUUCUGGCCAUGCUGGCAGCUGAUUAGAUUGUGCCCACCCAGAUUAAGGGUGGGUCUGCCUUCUGCAGUCCACUAACUCAAGUGUUAACCUCCUUUGGCAACACCCUCACAGACACACCCAGGAACAAACUUUGCAUCCUUCAAUCCAAUCAAGUUUGACACUCAGUAUUUACCAUCAAAGAGGUUAAUUGGCAGUUUCUGAUUGGUUAAACUUAAGUUUUGUUUUCCUAGGCUAUCACAAUUCUUUCUGAGUUGGGUUUUGGUUUACUUAUGUAGAAACUCAGGAUGCUGGAGUACCUACAAUCUAAUGACCUCCCAAUGAGUUAUUUUAACAAUUCUGAUACACAGAAUGUUUAGAUCUUCUGGGAUUUGAGUGCUGCUGAGUUAUUUAAAGGUCCCUGAGUUUUUCCCAGGGAGGCAAAAGUAGCCUCCACAGUUGUAGCUGGAUGUGGAGUCACAGACUUUGAGAGAAGAUUCAAUGACCAGGUCAGGAGAUGUUCUCUUGUAAAUUAUAGGCAGCGUUGCUGACUUCUGUAGAGCUGUGAAUGCCACAAGGCAGCUUAGAGAUUCCUCUGGACAUGGAACUAGGCAGCAUGGCUUCAAAAGAGCUUUAGGCAAGGCAGUGAGUGACCCUUGGAAGGCCCCCUGACACAAUUUGCUAACAUAAUUU